AGCUAAAGGAUGCUGGGAUAGAGGAUGCAGCGCAUAGAGAAACAAUCCUCUCUCAGCUUUCAAGAGAUCGACAGAAGCUGGACCCACUUUCUGAUUAUCAGGUUGUGAAGCGCAGAGUCAGUCGAAAAUAUUCCCUGGGAUCCUCAUCGGACCUGCCAAAGGAUCUUUUUCGUCAGAGCGUUCUUCCUCGUCUCCAUCGUGCCGACAAGAAACACCGUCUGUCCUCUUCCUGCUCUUUGCUCC